UACGUAGGGUGCAAGCGUUAAUCGGAAUUACUGGGCGUAAAGCGCACGCAGGCGGUCUGUUAAGUCAGAUGUGAAAUCCCCGGGCUUAACCUGGGAACUGCAUUUGAAACUGGCAGGCUUGAGUCUUGUAGAGGGGGGUAGAAUUCCAGGUGUAGCGGUGAAAUGCGUAGAGAUCUGGAGGAAUACCGGUGGCGAAGGCGGCCCCCUGGACAAAGACUGACGCUCAGGUGCGAAAGCGUGGGGAGCAAACAGG
rnacentral:rRNA from 1 species